rnacentral:rRNA from 1 species
UACGUAGGGGGCAAGCGUUGUCCGGAAUUAUUGGGCGUAAAGAGCGCGUAGGCGGUCCGAUAAGUCGGCUGUGAAAGUCCAGGGCUCAACCCUGGAAAGCCGGCCGAUACUGUCGGACUAGAGUCCGGAAGAGGCAAGUGGAAUUCCCGGUGUAGCGGUGAAAUGCGCAGAUAUCGGGAGGAACACCAAUUGCGAAGGCAGCUUGCUGGGACGGUACUGACGCUGAGGCGCGAAAGCGUGGGGAGCGAUCCGG